UACAGAGGUCCCGAGCGUUGUUCGGAUUCACUGGGCGUAAAGGGUGCGUAGGCGGUCGGGUAAGUCUGAUGUGAAAUCUCACAGCUUAACUGUGAAACUGCAUUGGAUACUAUUCGGCUUGAGGUCUGGGAGGGGGGACUGGAAUUCUCGGUGUAGCAGUGAAAUGCGUAGAUAUCGAGAGGAACACCAGUGGCGAAGGCGAGUCCCUGGACAGGUCCUGACGCUGAGGCACGAAAGCUAGGGGAGCAAACAGG
rnacentral:rRNA from 1 species